UCCCUGGAGGACUAGUGGUUAGGCCAUGGCGCAAUCACCGCCGCAGUCAGGUUCAAUUCCCGGCCAGGGAA